AAGGCUACACCGGAAACCCAGUGGGGCAGGAGGGGGCAUUUUUCAGCCCAGUGGUUGCAUUUCCCUCCACACAACACUGGUCAAACACACAAACGAACAGAACAAUGAAAGUGAGUCUCAUCUAUGCACUGGAAUCUUUUCAAGGAGUGACAUGCAGGGAGAAAGUUAUCAUCUCAGGAAAAAGCACCUUUUCAUAAAUCAAUCAUUUAUUGUAUUUGACUAAAAGCCAUUAAAGGUCCAGUUCCAGAAGCAUCCAAUCCAAUAAAACCUAUUAAGAAAGACCCAGAAACAAGCAACCAUUUACAAUAAAUCAAAUAAAUUAAUCCCAAUAAGACUGUUUUAUAUGUGACAAGCAUCUCAGUCAGGUAAUAGCCAACCUAUUUUCCCUUCUGGGUUCUGUCCCUGUAGCACUGCCAACACCUUUCCCAAAAAUCUCUGGGGUUUUGCUAGAGCUGACCAUGGAGUAUGCAAUGGAGAAGAUCUCCUUAACUGACCCCACAAAUAAAGAAUCUCAACUGCUUUGGAACUUUCCUGUCUCUUCCAUCUAAGACUGAUGUGGGCAUCCUUUGAAAGUGGAGAGCUGAGGUCUGGCAAUGGACCUGGCGCGGCUGUUGGUGGUGGACGGAUUGCCGGAAGGUUUGCAUUCAGUGCCUGGUUGAUGCCGCAAGGCUACAAGACUGGCCGAGGGGAUGCAAACGGGUUUGGAAGCCUAGUUUGUUUAUUAACAGGCGGACAAACUGAGGAGGGAAGCUGUCCCUUUGGCGGCGGGUGAGUGUCCCUAGGCGAAUUCUGUGGUGAGGGAAAGUUGCCCAUCGGCUUCUAGUGGUGGCGCCUAGGUGAAGCCAGGUUCACAUUUGGGGAUGUCAGUGGAAGCCGAGAGGCCCGUGAAGCUGGCCGAUCCAUUUGUGAACGCUAUCUGGUGACACUCACCUUUGUCUUUGGCCCUCAACCUAAGGUCAACAGACCUACCUUUUGAGAAUGUCAGCUUGCUGACAUUCGUAGAGCUCUUGACCUUACGUCGAUGGCCAAAGCGAGGAGGGAAACUACCCGGCACAGCCCUAGAGGUGGAAACCAGGGAAACCAGUGUAGUCCCAUGUGGAUCUACCACUUCAAACUGGUGACCCUCCACUUCUGCAACCUGCCUGACGGGGCAGGCCAGUCAGGGAUGAAGUUGUCAGACCAAAGCCUGUGGAAGGGUCUGGGUGGACGCUGUGAUAGUCGCCAUCCCAUCAACGUGUUUGCCUUUGCCUUUCAGGGACAUCCAAUGCCAGCGAGGUUUUCCCCAAGACCAGACAGUGGCGGCAGGCUGGCAAGCGGAAGGAGGCGAUCGUCUGGCUUUGGGAUGCUGUGGAGCAAGGAGAAGGCAAGGGAUCUGGGUGGACGCUGUCGGAUAGUUGCCAUCCCAUCAACGGUUUGCUUUUGCCUUUCAGGAGCCGGCGAGGUUUCCCCCGAGACCAGCCAUGAAAGUCAUGAGGAGAACUGCAGGAUUUAAGCCAGACAGCUCCUGUUUUCUAAAU